GCGAACGUAGUUCAGUGGUAGAACAUCACCUUGCCAAGGUGGGGGUCGCGGGUUCGAACCUAUACGUAGGUU
rfam:Streptococcus mutans TA159, complete genome.